rnacentral:rRNA from 1 species
UGUGGUCAAGUUGGUAAGGGCACACGGUGGAUGCCUGGGCACCAGGAGCCGAUGAAGGACGUAGGAGGCUGCGAUAAGCCUCGGGGAGUUGCCAACCGAGCGUUGAUCCGAGGAUGUCCGAAUGGGGGAACCCCGCACCAGUCAUGUGGUGUGACCCGCGCCUGAACGCAUAGGGCGUGUGGAGGGAACGCGGGGAAGUGAAACAUCUCAGUACCCGCAGGAGAAGAAAACAACCGUGAUUCCGUGAGUAGUGGCGAGCGAAAGCGGAGGAUGGCUAAACCGUUUCCAUGUGAUACCCGGCAGGGGUUGUGGGAGCGGGGUCGUGGGGCGCGUUGUCGCAUCUCUGCCGGGAUGCGCGGAAGUGAGCAAGACCUGUUGUUAGUGGAAGGCCUCUGGAAGGGGUCGCCGGAGAGGGUGAGAGCCCCGUACACGAAAACGCAGGUCCUUUCGAUGCGUGUUCCCGAGUAGCACCGAGCCCGUGGAAUUCGGUGUGAAUCUGGCGGGACCACCCGCUAAGCCUGAAUACUCCCUGGUGACCGAUAGCGGACGAGUACCGUGAGGGAAAGGUGAAAAGUACCCCGGGAGGGGAGUGAAAGAGUACCUGAAACCGUGUGCCUACAAGCCGUGAGAGCCGCGAAUCGCGCUCCCUUGGGGGGUGCGGCGGUGAUUGCGUGCCUUUUGAAGAAUGAGCCUGCGAGUUAGUGGUGCGUGGCGAGGUUAACCCGGGUGGGGAAGCCGUAGCGAAAGCGAGUCCGAACAGGGCGUUUCUGCCGUCUGCGGGUGCAUCCAGUGGGUGUGUGCGUGGGUGGUGGGUUGAGUCGCGUGCUCUAGACCCGAAGCCGAGUGAUCUACCCAUGGCCAGGUUGAAGCGCGGGUAAGACCGUGUGGAGGACCGAACCCACCAGGGUUGAAAACCUGGGGGAUGAGCUGUGGGUAGGGGUGAAAGGCCAAUCAAACUCGGUGAUAGCUGGUUCUCCCCGAAAUGCAUUUAGGUGCAGCGUCGCGUGUUUCUUGCCGGAGGUAGAGCACUGGAUGGCUGAUGGGCCCGACAAGGUUACUGACGUCAACCAAACUCCGAAUGCCGGUAAGUGAGAGCGUGGCAGUGAGACUGCGGGCGAUAAGGUUCGUAGUCGAGAGGGAAACAGCCCAGAUCAUCGGCUAAGGCCCCUCAGCGUGUGCUAAGUGGAAAAGGAUGUGGGAUCGCCGUGACAACCAGGAGGUUGGCUUAGAAGCAGCCAUCCUUGAAAGAGUGCGUAAUAGCUCACUGGUCAAGUGGUUCCGCGCCGACAAUGUAGCGGGGCUCAAGCACACCGCCGAAGCCGUGGCACUUCACCAGCACCCUGUCGUUGCCCUGUGCGGGGGCGGCCAGGGGGUGGAGUGGGUAGGGGAGCGUCGUGUGGCGGGAGAAGCGGCGGUGUAAGCCAGCCGUGGACGCCACGCGAGUGAGAAUGCAGGCAUGAGUAGCGACAGGGGAGUGAGAACCUCCUCCGCCGGAAGACCAAGGGUUCCUGGGCCAGGCUAAUCCGCCCAGGGUGAGUCGGGACCUAAGGCGAGGCCGACAGGCGUAGUCGAUGGACAACGGGUUGAUAUUCCCGUACCCGCGAAGGAGCGUCCCUGCCGAAUCCAGCGAUGCUAACCGCGCCGUGUUCGGGCACUGCAUGCGUGUGGUGGCCGGAUGGGUGGCGUGGGAUCCGGACUGGUAGUAGGUAAGCGAUGGGGUGACGCAGGAAGGUAGUCGGUGCCGGUGAGUGGUGGUGCCGGUGCAAGGGUGUGGCCCGCGCCGCAGGGAAAUCCGUGGCGCUGACUUGGAUGUCGGGGGUGAGGCCUGAUGCAUAGCCGUGUGCGGCGAAUCCGAUGAUCCUAUGCUGCCGAGAAAAGCCUCUAGCGAGUUCUGAGCGGCCCGUACCCCAAACCAACUCAGGUGGUCAGGUAGAGAAUACCGAGGCGAUCGAGCGAACUGUGGUCAAGGAACUCGGCAAAAUGCCCCCGUAACUUCGGGAGAAGGGGGACCGGAGCCCGUGAAGCACCGUUUGCGUGUGGCGGCGGGAGCCGGUCGCAGAGACCAGUGGGAAGCGACUGUUUACUAAAAACACAGGUCCGUGCGAAGUCGUAAGACGAGGUAUACGGACUGACGCCUGCCCGGUGCUGGAACGUUAAGGGGACGGGUCAGCCGCACGUUGGUGUGGUGACGCUCAGAACUGAAGCGCCAGUAAACGGCGGUGGUAACUAUAACCAUCCUAAGGUAGCGAAAUUCCUUGUCGGGUAAGUUCCGACCUGCACGAAUGGCGUAACGACUUCUCAGCUGUCUCGACCACAGGCUCGGCGAAAUUGCACUACGAGUAAAGAUGCUCGUUACGCGCGGCAGGACGGAAAGACCCCGGGACCUUCACUGCAGCUUGAUAUUGGUGUUCGGUUCGGCUUGUGUAGGAUAGGUGGGAGACGCGGAAGCGGGCACGCCAGUGUUCGUGGAGUCGCCGUUGAAAUACCACUCUGGUCGGAUGGGAUGUCUAACCUGGGUCCGUGAUCCGGAUCAGGAACAGUGUCAGGUGGGUAGUUUAACUGGGGCGGUUGCCUCCUAAAGGGUAACGGAGGCGCCCAAAGGUUCCCUCAGCCUGGUUGGCAAUCAGGUGGCGAGUGCAAGUGCACAAGGGGGCUUGACUGUGAGACCGACGGGUCGAGCAGGAGCGAAAGCUGGGACUAGUGACCCGGCACCGGCGUGUGGAAGCGGUGUCGCUCAACGGAUAAAAGGUACCCCGGGGAUAACAGGCUGAUCUUCCCCAAGAGUCCAUAUCGACGGGAUGGUUUGGCACCUCGAUGUCGGCUCGUCGCAUCCUGGGGCUGGAGUAGGUCCCAAGGGUUGGGCUGUUCGCCCAUUAAAGCGGUACGCGAGCUGGGUUUAGAACGUCGUGAGACAGUUCGGUCCCUAUCCGC